CUCAUCUGCAAUCUACACCACAGGUUGCAGCAGUGUUGGAUCCUUAAUGCACCAAGCUAGGCCAGAAAUCAAAACUGCAUCCUCAUGGAUACAACUUGGGUUCAUUUCCACUGAGUCACGACAGGAAGUCCUAAACAAAGAUUUAUUAAUUUAGCUUUUUAGAACUUACAAUUUUGAGAUUUGGCAGGAUUAAAAAAUAAAGACUUACACUUAAGAAUUUAAUUAAGCCAGAUGCCAGUCACAUUGAAUUAUUACAGCUGGGUGAAAAUUUUUUUUUUUUUUUUUGGUCUCUAAGCAACUGUUAGCACAGUGCUUGGAGCAUAGCAGAUUUCAAUAAAUAUUUAUUGAAUGAAUGGGUGCAUUUCAUGCUUCAUUUGAGGCUCAUAAUAAUGAAGCGCUUCAUUGCUAAUGGUGAAAAUCUGUAGCUUGUUAAUGUUUGCCAAGGGUUUAGCAGGCUGCACUAUGCCCUGGAAGGAGGCUGAUUCUGAGAUGGGCCAUCAGUUCAGAGCAUAACCUGAGAAACAGUGACAGGAGUCAUAUUCUCAUGGGUCCCCCAAGAUGACAGCAUGUCUUCCUUGACUCUGGGACAGACUCUAUCUUCAGAGAAAUGCUGACAUUCUGUUGCUAAUUAUUGCUUCAAAACUGUUGAAGAUAUUUUAUUCAACAUCUUAAAUAGAACUCAUUUCCUUGGUCAUUUUCUGGUCAGAUAUUUUAUUACGAAAUAUUUGAGUUUAUUCUGGAGUGUAUAUUUAUUUAGCCAUCAGAAAAAAGACAUCUGCCUAUCAGCUGAUACUGGAAGAGGACAGAAAGUCCCAUAAAAUACUAUGGAAAAAAAUGAGGCUACACCAUGAAAGAGAGGGGAUAUUUGUUUUUUGGAUGGGGAAGGGGAAAGAGAAAAGUGUCAAAGGUAGAAGAUUUUUUUUCCCUCUUGUUCAAAAUGCAGAUUCUUAAAUAGGCAAAAGGGAAAAAUAUCCCUGGCCCCUGAAUAAAGAAAGGAAUUCUUCAGAAAGAUGGACCAAAACAAGCCAUGGGUGAAUUUAGGUUUAUCUCUUAUACCAACUCAAUCUAUCUCAGUGGCUAUUGCUGGUAAGGAUUCUGAGGUUGCAUCCAGACUUAGGCAGAUAGAGUUUGUAUGAUAUGGCCCAGAAUGGGCAUUUGUAACAAGUUCCCUAUAUGUGUCUUUACAUGCUAAAAUUGAACCUGUAGCACUUAGCUACUUACAAUGUGUACAGGACUAUUCAAUUCCAUAUCCAUAACAAUUGUUAACUAGGUACUUCGUUUCCAACAGGCACUUGUCUAAUUAUUUACCUAAAUCAUUUAAUAUUUAUUAUAAUUCUAUUGUGCAUGUAAGUAAACUAGGAAAAAAAAAAACCCAGAAGUUUUUGUAAAUUGCUCAAGGUCUCAGAGUUAGUAAAUAUCAAAGCAAGGAUCUAAGGCAAGUUAUUCUCUCUCCAGAGGCUGUAUCCUUUACCACAUUCUUAAGGUAGUGCUUAAGAUUUAACAAUGUACAUGUAGUGAAUUGGGCAUCACUUUCUAUGGAUAAUCUAGUUUUGCCUCUUUGGGCAACGUUCACCAAAAACAUGGCAGUCAUUAUUUCAAAGAUGUCUUAGGCAUAAAAAAAUAAGGAAGUUAUAAAGGAGGGAAGAAGCAGUUAAAAAACUGGGAACUCAAGUGGGAGUUGAAGAUGAGGGGAAUUAGAGCACAGAGGUUGUCAGGGAAGGGUAAUAGAAACACUUCAGGCAAAAAGGGAAAGCUGCAUUUUUUUAGUGGUCUAAAUUGAAAAACACUAACAGGGCAUAACCAGAAAUAUUUAAAUCUCAGGUCACUUGAGAGAAAGAUUCUAGAUGCAGGAUUUCACCAUUGGCCACAGCCUAAUAGUAUCUCUACAUUAUCUAACAAAUUUCCUAUAGAUCUUGAACUUUCAUCGCUUCUCAAGUGUGGCAUAUAGUCAAGUAGUCUGCUUCAAGAUGACACACUUUGCGAUAUGCCAAGGAAAAUGUCUUAGGAAAAAAGACAAAUUUCCAAAGUUCAAAAUUUUAAAUCUGAACUUUUAGAGACUAGUAAUGAAUUCAAUAAUAAACACAAUAGCUAACAUGUUUUAGGACUUACCAACUCAAAUACUAUGUUAAAUGAUUUUAAAUGACUAGUUUCUAUAUUCUUUAUGACAACCUAUGAAUAGCCUCAAGCUCCUGAAUACUAUGUAAAUCACAGAUGUGAAAUAGAAAAAGUGUAUUUCUCAUGUAGCUCUGAAUAUAAUAUCAUAAAAAAUCCAAUGAUAAUGAAGAAUAUGCAAAUAUGACCAUCACAUGGUCUUUAGAUAACACAGUUUAAAUGCACUAAAUUUCAUGCUUUUUAGGAAGUAUUUAUGAAAUAGGUGACAGAGUAACUUUAUGGAUGAUCAAAAUAAUCUAUUUUAGUACCCAAACACUUUACAGACUAAACUGCUAAUUAUAAAAGACAGCUUUGUAUUACAACAUCACAAACCUCCUCUGGAUACCACAGGGUAUAUAAAUUUAUCAAAUGAAGCCUCGGUACCUCAGGGGAGACAAACUGUGUAUUAAUCCAAAUAGGAAUGUGUGGUUUAUGGACAAAUACAGGGGAAGGAAGGUCGACUCAUGAAUAAUAAAACUGGGACUCUUACCUGGGCUCUGCCUUGAACUAGCUCUAUACCAAAUAAAGAUACUUCCUCUUACUACUUUCUCAGAAAAUGAGGUGCUAAAGGGAGCAGAUCUAUGAGAUUUCCUUUAAAAUGUUAUAACUCAAUAUACUAAGAAGAUGACUUUGGCCAGACACUAAAGAGAUCCAUGGAUGGAUAGCCACAGUUUUGAGCAAAGAAAAGUGACCAGGUAAGAAAUGAUUAUUCCAAAAUAUUAAGAUGUAAGCAAUGUUUCGUAAACUCUGCCAAGCUGCCAAAGUACCCUAACGUCUAGAAUCUCAAACUUAUACAGACAGUCGGCUAGGCAACCAGGGUUUUAUAACUCUAACCUUUGUAGGCAGAAAAAUAAGAUAAUUGAAUUCAUUUCCCUUUUCCCAUAAAACUAGACCCAGGUGCUCCUGAACAGGGUAUGUGGAAUCUAACUAUCUACCUUCAUGCCCAAACCACCACACCUUUUGAAUUUUGGAGAUAAUAUUUCUUCCGUGUAAAGCUUUUAAAAAUAAAAACUAAAAUAUUUUAUUCCUUACUUUAUCAUCUCAGAAAUAAUUUCUUUGGCUACUUAGAAAUAUAUAUUCAUAAUUUAUUUAAUAAUCUAUUCAUUCAGUUAUUAAGUUAUUGAGCAUUCACUAUGCACCUAGUAGUGGGCACAUGGCCAGAGCAUGCAUGCAUACAUAAACACACAUGCCCAGCUGUGUACCCUUAUCCACAAAUCCACUAUAGCUUCAUGGAGGAUAGGGAGGAUAGAUCUUAAUACAGGGUUAAGCAGAUAGAAUAUGUUUGGGAAAUACUUGUCAAAUACUUUCAUGUGACCUGACCUAAAGAAAGGAAAAAUAUUUGAAAGUGAUAUCUUAAAACUUAAAAGAGAUGCCAUAAAAAUACUGUCAUAAAACUUAUGGUUUUAUAUUCCAUAUUAAUAAAAAUAUGCUCAAUAAUACUUUGAAUAUACACAAUCAGGGGUGGGGGAAGAGGAUACAAAAAACGUUGUAAUAAAAGGUUCCUUUUGUCGGAAUUCCCUUGUGGUGCAGAGGGUUAAGGAUCCAAUGGGUCAAGGAUCCACAGUUGUCACUGUAUCAGCUGCCAUGGUGUGGGUUCUGUCUCUGGCCUGGGAACUUCCAAUUGUUGCAGGUGAGACCAAAAAAAAAAAAAAAAAAAAAAAGGUUCCCAUUCUCAAUGAAUUUAUAGUACAAUUUGAUGCAUACAAUAAUUUCUCAAAAAAUUAAAAUUCAAAGCUAAAAAAUAAAUCCAGGAAAAGGUGUAAAAUUGUGUGAGGUUCAAAAUGAGAUCAUAUCGCUUUGAAGAGAAAUUAGGAAGGAUGUAAUAGCUACCACUUUUGAUCACUCUGAAUACUGUUCUAAGUGUCCUACAUGUAUUAAUUCAUUUAACCCUCACCGAGCCCUAUGAUGUAAGAACUAAUAAUUUUUACAUCCAAGGAAGCCGAGGGCUGUCUUGAAAAAUGUGUAGAAGAUUUUGACUGAAGAAGGAAACCCCAAGCAACAUCAUACAGGUUCUAAGUGUUCAUGGCCCAGAAUAAACGUGGCUUGGUUCAGAUGCAGGAGUUCAGACAACCUCCUGGGGAUACUUGAGGAGUCUGAGGCCAGGCUGACCAACUCAACCAAGCCAACAUGGUGCCUUUAAAGACUGAGUAAUAGCACUAAUGGAGACAACUAUAAGGACUGUUUCUCACUGCUAAGGAAGAGCUCAUGAAGUGCUCUGAGUCUAUGAGGACAAAUGACUCAGUUUGAAAAGGAUAAUCACGACGGAUGGAAACUGUAGCAAAAUGGAGAUCACAAGCUCCAUCUAAAAGAGGUGACCACUCCCUAGCUCUAAAGGAUUGCUGCCAUGCAGGAAUAUUAGCUCAGUUUUACAAGAGCCAUUCCCAGGACCAGAGAGGAGGCCCCUUCAGCAGAGAGAUUGACUUAUGCAAGAAUAAGGGCCGAACCAUGCCUGAGCUAUUUAAAACAUCCUUACGCUGUCAUCAGAAGUUGCCUUAUCUAUUAUCACCUCUGGCAGAAGCUGUCCAUUGGGGAGCAUGAGAGCUGAGGGUCCAUCAACCAAGGAGA